GGAAAAACAUGCAGGGGCGACAGAGUGAAGAGAACUUGCUUCUUGCAAGACACUUUCGGUGAAAACAAUUUGAUAUGAAGACAAUCUUUUGUUUCAGUUAUUUUUUGUUGUUGUUUUUUUUUAAUUUCCAACAUGAGGCAUUUGCCUCAUUUGCCUCAAUGUAGUUACAGCCUUGCAAGUAAAAUAAGUUUGGUGACCCCAUUUUGUCUUUUUCUAGUCUGAAAGUUUUUUGAAAGCAUGUUAUAAGAGCUAUCUUCUCGCAUUUUAUCUUUAAAUUCUAUAGUGCAGUUUUCUUUUUAUUACACAAAAUUGGAUUUUCUACGGAUAAUCUAUACAAAAUCUGACAAUUUUGAACAAUUUGUAGCAUU
rnacentral:lncRNA from 1 species